rnacentral:ribozyme from 1 species
UGCCCAGUAACUCCUAUCCCUACCUCCGCGUGGUACCGUCUGGAAACUACAAGCAACCUUAGGGAAGAUCGGGUAACCAACUUUGGAACUUUCAUCGUAGGCUGACAGGGAAGA